CAUGAAGCCGGAAUUGCUAGUAAUGGCAGGUCAGCAUACUGCCGUGAAUACGUUCCCGGGCCUUGUACACACCGCCCGUCACACCAUGAGAGUUGGGAAUACCCGAAGCCUGUGAGCUAACUUUUAGAGGCAGCAGUCGAAGGUAGAAUCAAUGAUUGGGGGUGAAGUCGUAACAAGGUACC
rnacentral:rRNA from 1 species